rnacentral:lncRNA from 1 species
AAUCAGAAUUUGGAGUUAAGAGGAUGCAGGGAGAGUGGUAGACAAACGGAAACAAGUGUUACCAUAGCAAUCUAUUAGAGGGCAAACUAAGCCACCAGGAGUCUCUCAAGAACAAACAAACAAACAAACAAAUGUUAUGAAUGACUUUUGGCUUAAAUGUCAUGUAGACUAAGACUGGAGGCGCAAUGGAGAAGGAGGGAAAACUGAGAGCUGAUAGAAGCAAAAUGAAGGAUAGGAGUGAGCAUCCCCUAAGAUGGACAAGGUGCCUUCAUUUCCUAAUGGUUUCUCCUCUUCUUUUCUUUGAACCUACCAAUGUGUGGUUAUUUUCCUUGCAAUAUUGUGUUGUAAGAUAUCCUUCCAAUUUAGAAACAGAAAGGGUAGUAAUUGCCUCAUGUUAGAAUAUUUAGCUAUAGAAUAAUAGGAAUCAAAAUUAUUUUAGACAUCAAAGAGUAUGGAAAAUCAAAGAUAAUCUGAGGCAGCAAGACACAAAUCCCAUUUGUCAAUUCUGCCAUUUGGUGAUCAUGAUGGUAGUGAUUUGAGAUAUGUCUAGCUAAGUACCAAGCACUGUUUUAAGUAUUUACAUAUAUUGUUCUCUCAAAAACUCUGACGUGUAGGUAGAAUUAUUAGCCUCAUUUUACACAUAAGAGAGCUAAAGUAUACAAAGAAUAAGUAAUGGAGCCAGGAUUCAAAUUUCCUAAUUCAACAUCAAAGCCUAAAUUCCUGAAAGUGCAAGUCUCUCACAAACUUCAGGAAUUCCACAGCAUACCAGAAAUCUUAAGUUUUAGGGUGGUUCGAAACCUUAUAAAUCCCUUUGAGUCAAAAAUUUCUCUUUUUUUCCAGAUCCUGUUAAACGUCAGUGUUACUAUUUAGCCUUUGAUAUCUCCAGUAAAGGCAACUUCUUUCUGGACCCAGAAAUAAAGCUUUACAUUAGCAGCUUCCAUAACACCAAUAACAUGAAUGACCAUCUACUGAGCAAUUGCAGUGCACCAGGAUUAUGGCUUAUGAGCACUUUAUGUUUAUUAUCUCACAACUCACUGAGUUAGAUACUCUCCACAACCCAGUGAGCCUCUCAAGCACUGUGAAAAAUCACUUUCUCUUGUUGUAUUCUUGGAGCCCCUGCUAAUUCAUUAUUGAAAAAUACCUGCUGCCUGCAUUUGGCCUUAUGUUGUCAUUUACUUGGUACUUCCUAAGCGUGGCUACUCCAAUGAAGCUUUAGUAUAUGUACUGAAAGAAGAUCCUCUCAUACUGCCACAGCCAAGAGAUAAGGUUGUAAAUCUUUAUUGGGAGAAGCCGUCAAGGACAGUUCUGUGAAAUGAAAGGAUCUCUGGAUCACCACAAAGUCUGGCUCAGUGACUAUGGCUUUGCAAACACUAAACAUUCCUGUCUCAAGUCCUGUAGAUGGCUUGAAAUAGUAUACAUAAGCAUGCCUUAUAAACAUCUUCAGUCUUUAUCAACUCUUUGGAGAUUCAGCCAUUCUUUUUUGUACUUUAGGGAAUUAAAUCAUUUUAUAAUGUAUAAAUCUGAGCAUGGCCGAUGGCAGAAGAAAUUUUGUCAUACGUUUUUAAAGAAAUAAAAAUGUAUUAUGUUUUAAAA